rnacentral:rRNA from 1 species
AGAGUUUGAUCAUGGCUCAGCUUGAACGCUGGCGGCAUGGCUAAGACAUGCAAGUCGAGCGAGAAUCUAACUUCGGUUAGAGGACAGCGGCGAAAGGGCGAGUAACGCGAUCGUACGUACCCCAAGGUGGAGGAUAGUCACGGGAAACUGUGCGGAAUACUCCAUGUGCUCUAAGGCUUCGGAUCAAAGGCUUGCCGCCUCGGGAGCGGGGAACGUCCUAUCAGGUUGUUGGUGAGGUAACGGCUCACCAAGCCGGAGACGGGUAGCGGGUGUGAGAGCAUGACCCGCCGCAUCGGGACUGAGACACUGCCCGGACUCCUACGGGAGGCUGCAGUAACGAAUCUUCCGCAAUGCGCGAAAGCGUGACGGAGCAAUGCCGCGUGUAGGAUGAAGCCUCUCGGGGUGUAAACCACUGUCAGGUGUCAGUAAGAAACUGAACAGCACCAAAGGAAGGGCCGGCUAACUUCGUGCCAGCAGCCGCGGUAAUACGAAGGGCCCGAGCGUUAAGCGGAAUCACUGGGCUUAAAGCGUACGUAGGCGGACUAAUAGGCAUCUUGUGAAAUCCCACGGCUCAACCGUGGAACUGCUCGAUGAACCAUAGAUCUUGAGGCAGGUAGGGGCUGUCGGAACGAUAGGGGGAGUGGUGAAAUGCGUUGAUAUCUAUCGGAACACCGAAGGAGAAAUCAGACAGCUGGGCCUCUCCUGACGCUAAGGUACGAAAGCGUGGGUAGCGAACGGGAUUAGAUACCCCGGUAGUCCACGCCGUAAACGAUGUGCACUAGAUCGAGGGGGUUUUGACGCCGCUCUGGUCGAAGCGAAAGUGUUAAGUGCACCGCCUGGGGAGUACGGUCGCAAGGCUAAAACUCAAAGGAAUUGACGGGGGCUCACACAAGCGGUGGAGCAUGUGGCUUAAUUCGAAGCAACGCGAAGAACCUUAUCCAGGGCUUGACAACGGCGGAUUAGCUUCCUGAAAGGGAAGUGACACCCUUGGGUGGAACGUACACAGGCGCUGCAUGGCUGUCGUCAGCUCGUGCUGUGAAGUGUCGGGUUAAGUCCCUUAACGAGCGCAACCCCUGUCGUUAGUUGCUAACAGGUAAUGCUGAGGACUCUAGCGAGACUGCCGGUGUCAAACCGGAGGAAGGUGGGGAUGACGUCAAGUCCGCAUGGCCUUUAUGCCCAGGGCUGCACACGUGCUACAAUGGUCGGUACAGAACGACGCAAUACCGCGAGGUGGAGCAAAUCGCUUAAAGCCGGCCCCAGUUCGGAUUGCAGGCUGCAACUCGCCUGCAUGAAGUUGGAAUCGCUAGUAAUCGGAGAUCAGCUACGCUCCGGUGAAUACGUUCCUGAGCCUUGUACACACCGCCCGUCAAGUCAUGGAAGCUGGCAGCGCCCGAAGUCGCCUCGAUUCAGGGGUGCCCACGGUGAGGCUGGUGACUGGGACUAAGUCGUAACAAGGUA